rnacentral:rRNA from 1 species
CCUACGGGGGGCAGCAGUGAGGAAUAUUGGUCAAUGGACGGAAGUCUGAACCAGCCAUGCCGCGUGCAGGAAGACGGCUCUAUGAGUUGUAAACUGCUUUUGUACAAGGGUAAACCUGAAUACGUGUAUUCAGCUGAAAGUACUGUACGAAUAAGGAUCGGCUAACUCCGUGCCAGCAGCCGCGGUAAUACGGAGGAUCCAAGCGUUAUCCGGAUUUAUUGGGUUUAAAGGGUGCGUAGGCGGAUUGAUAAGUUAGAGGUGAAAUGUCCGAGCUCAACUCGGGAACUGCCUCUAAUACUGUUGAUCUAGAGAGUAGAUGCGGUAGGCGGAAUGUAUGGUGUAGCGGUGAAAUGCUUAGAGAUCAUACAGAACACCGAUUGCGAAGGCAGCUUACCAAUCUAUAUCUGACGUUGAGGCACGAAAGCGUGGGGAGCAAACA